GUGUCAGCAGCCGCGGUAAUACGUAGGGGGCUAGCGUUAUCCGGAAUUACUGGGCGUAAAGGGUGCGUAGGUGGUUUCUUAAGUCAGAGGUGAAAGGCUACGGCUCAACCGUAGUAAGCCUUUGAAACUGGGAAACUUGAGUGCAGGAGAGGAGAGUGGAAUUCCUAGUGUAGCGGUGAAAUGCGUAGAUAUUAGGAGGAACACCAGUUGCGAAGGCGGCUCUCUGGACUGUAACUGACACUGAGGCACGAAAGCGUGGGGAGCAAACAGGAUUAGAUACCCCGGUAGUCC
rnacentral:rRNA from 1 species